UACGAAGGGGGCUAGCGUUGCUCGGAAUCACUGGGCGUAAAGCGCACGUAGGCGGACUCUUAAGUCGGUGGUGAAAUCCUGGAGCUCAACUCCAGAACUGCCUUCGAUACUGGCGAUCUCGAGUCCGGAAGAGGUGAGUGGAACUCCUAGUGUAGAGGUGGAAUUCGUAGAUAUUAGGAAGAACACCAGUGGCGAAGGCGGCUCACUGGUCCGGUACUGACGCUGAGGUGCGAAAGCGUGGGGAGCAAACAGG
rnacentral:rRNA from 1 species